UCAACAAUCAGCCUUCAGAUGGUUCAAAUUAGUCAACAUAGAUCAGAGCUGAACCCAUGCCCUAGAAGUGAACGUAACUUCUCCUGUGAGAAAUCACCUGGCAGCGGGCUACAACAGAAUGCCCUUUACUGAAGGAAUAUAGAAAGGAAGUGAUGAACGCAAAAGGGUAUAAAUCAUUCAAGGAAGAAGGAGAAUCUACACACUGGUGCUUCUUAAUUGUUGCCAAAGGAAACCUAGCAAAAACUCAUGGAUUCAAUGGGAGUAUUAAUAAGCCAAUCAACAGAUGGCUAAUUGUACCACUGAAAAA
rnacentral:lncRNA from 1 species